GCAAUGCGCCACUCCACCGCCGCGCCCGCUGCCCCGGCGGCGGGCGGGGAGGAAAGUCCGGGCAACGCAGGGCACCCUGCUUCCUAACGGGAAGGACCGGCCAAUCGGGCCGGGACAGCCAGUGCCACAGAAAAUAACCGCCUUUUGGGAGUUAUGAGUUUUGAGUUAUGAAUUUUGAAUUGACGUUAUGCCAACUCAAAAUUCAUAACUCAAAACUCAUAACUCAAAUAGGGUAAGGGUGAAAAGGUGCGGUAAGAGCGCACCAGCGGCUGGGUGACCACGCCGGCUGGGUAAACCUCAGGGGUUGAAAGACCAAAUAAGCUGGCACGUCGCUUUCUUUCGGGAAGGCGGCACCGGGCGGCCCGUCCGGCGCCAGCGGGUAGGUUGAUGGAGCCUUUCCGCGAGGACUGGCCUAGAUAAAUGGUGGAGACGCCGCCCCUCGGGGUGGCGGACAGAACCCGGCUUACGCGGCGCAUUGCCCAU
rnacentral:RNase_P_RNA from 1 species